rnacentral:rRNA from 1 species
UUCCGGUUGAUCCUGCCGGACCUGACUGCUAUCGGAUUGAUACUAAGCCAUGCGAGUCAUUGUAGCAAUACAAGGCAUACGGCUCAGUAACGCGUAGUCAACCUAACCUAUGGACGGGAAUAACCUCGGGAAACUGAGAAUAAUGCCCGAUAGAACAUUAUGCCUGGAAUGGUUUAUGUUCCAAAUGAUUUAUCGCCGUAGGAUGGGACUGCGGCCUAUCAGUUUGUUGGUGAGGUAAUGGCCCACCAAGACUAUUACAGGUACGGGCUCUGAGAGGAGUAGCCCGGAGAUGGGUACUGAGACACGGACCCAGGCCCUAUGGGGCGCAGCAGGCGAGAAAACUUUGCAAUGUGCGAAAGCACGACAAGGUUAAUCCGAGUGGUUUCUGCUAAAGAAACCUUUUGUCAGUCCUAGAAACACUGAUGAAUAAGGGGUGGGCAAGUUCUGGUGUCAGCCGCCGCGGUAAAACCAGCACCUCAAGUGGUCAGGAUGAUUAUUGGGCCUAAAGCAUCCGUAGCCGGCUCUGUAAGUUUUCGGUUAAAUCUGUACGCUCAACGUACAGGCUGCCGGGAAUACUGCAGAGCUAGGGAGUGGGAGAGGUAGACGGUACUCGGUAGGAAGGGGUAAAAUCCUUUGAUCUAUUGAUGACCACCUGUGGCGAAGGCGGUCUACCAGAACACGUCCGACGGUGAGGGAUGAAAGCUGGGGGAGCAAACCGGAUUAGAUACCCGGGUAGUCCCAGCUGUAAACUAUGCAAACUCAGUGAUGCAUUGGCUUGUGGCCAAUGCAGUGCUGCAGGGAAGCCGUUAAGUUUGCCGCCUGGGAAGUACGUACGCAAGUAUGAAACUUAAAGGAAUUGGCGGGGGAGCACCACAAGGGGUGAAGCCUGCGGUUCAAUUGGAGUCAACGCCAGAAA